rnacentral:rRNA from 1 species
UACGGGGGGGGCUAGCGUUAUUCGGAUUGAAUGGGCGUAAAGGAUGCGUAGGCAAAAUUAGCAAUGUAUACUAAAAUGCCAGUAGAUAUACUGGAAGAGUCGUAUGCUAAUCGCUAAUGAUUGAGUUCAAUAGAAGUUAAGGGAAUUUUCAGUGGAGUGGUCUAAUACUUCGAUACUGAAAGGAAUGCCAUUUGGCGAAGGCACUUUUCUAGGUUGGACUGGCGUUGAGGCAUGAAGGUGUGGGGAUCAAACGGG